GCCGGGCAUAGCACAAUUGGUAGUGCAACUGAUUUGUAAUCAGUAGGUUGGGAGUUCGAGUCUCUCUGCCGGCACCA
rnacentral:tRNA from 1 species